rnacentral:rRNA from 1 species
CCUACGGGAGGCAGCAGUGAGGAAUAUUGGUCAAUGGACGAGAGUCUGAACCAGCCAAGUCGCGUGAAGGAUGACUGCCCUAUGGGUUGUAAACUUCUUUUAUCUGGGAAUAAAACGUUCCACGUGUGGGAUUUUGUAUGUACCAUAUGAAUAAGGAUCGGCUAACUCCGUGCCAGCAGCCGCGGUAAUACGGAGGAUCCGAGCGUUAUCCGGAUUUAUUGGGUUUAAAGGGUGCGUAGGUGGAUUGUUAAGUCAGGUGUGAAAGUUUGCGGCUCAACCGUAAAAUUGCAGUUGACACUGGCAGUCUUGAGUGCAGGAGAGGUGGGCGGAAUUCGUGGUGUAGCGGUGAAAUGCUUAGAUAUCACGAAGAACUCCGAUUGCGAAGGUAGUGCACUGGACUGCAACUGACACUGAGGCUCGAAGGUGUGGGUAUCGAACAGGAUUAGAUACCCCGGUAGUC